rnacentral:rRNA from 1 species
AGAGAGAGACAUGCGCGCAUAUCAAUAAGCGGAGGAAAAGAAACUAACAAGGAUUCCCCUAGUAACGGCGAGUGAAGCGGGAAGAGCUCAAAUUUGAAAUCUUAAAGGGUUUCCCUUUACGAAUUGUAGUUUAAAGAAGUGUUUUCUGUUGAGGUUUUGGUAAAAGGUUCUUUGGAAUAGGACAUCAUAGAGGGUGAGAAUCCCGUAUUUGACCUUUACUUUCAACUUUGUGAUACACUUUCAAAGAGUCGGAUUGUUUGGGAAUGCAGUCCAAAAUGGGUGGUAAAUUUCAUCUAAAGCUAAAUAUUGGCGAGAGACCGAUAGCGAACAAGUACCGUGAGGGAAAGAUGAAAAGAACUUUGAAAAGAGAGUUAAACAGUACGUGAAAUUGUCAAAAGGGAAGCGUUUGACACCAGUGUUGUUUUUCUGAAAAUCAAUUAAAGAACUGUUUAUGCUAAGUUGUUUAGACUUUAUCAGCUAACUGUUUAGUUUUGAGCUUUUCUUUAAUGCACUUUUCAGUUAACAAGUCAACAUCAAUUUCUUUUGCUGUAAAAAAGCUUGAGGAAGGUGGCUUGAGAUUCGUCUUAAGUGUUUAUAGCCUCUUGCCUAUGCAGUCGGAGAGAUUGAGGUCUGCAGCGUAGAUCCUUCGGGGCUAAAUGCAUUUGUGCUAAGUUAUAGCAUUUUAUAGACAACUUGUUGACUAUGAUUUGUCUUGUAGCUUACUCGCUUAUGCUUAUUUUACCUACGCUUAGGAUGUUGAGCGCAUGUCUCUCUCU